rnacentral:tRNA from 1 species
UCCCUGGUGGCUCAGAUGGUAAAGCGUCUGCCUGCAAUGCAGGAGACCAGGGUUCAAUCCCUGGGUUGGGAA